AUUGAGCGCUGGCGGCAUGCCUUACACAUGCAAGUCGAACGGUAACGCGGGGCAACCUGGCGACGAGUGGCGAACGGGUGAGUAAUGUAUCGGAACGUGCCCAGUUGUGGGGGAUAACUGCUCGAAAGAGCAGCUAAUACCGCAUACGACCUGAGGGUGAAAGCGGGGGAACGCAAGACCUCGCGCAGUUGGAGCGGCCGAUAUCAGAUUAGGUAGUUGGUGGGGUAAAGGCUCACCAAGCCGACGAUCUGUAGCUGGUCUGAGAGGACGACCAGCCACACUGGGACUGAGACACGGCCCAGACUCCUACGGGAGGCAGCAGUGGGGAAUUUUGGACAAUGGGGGCAACCCUGAUCCAGCCAUGCCGCGUGCGGGAAGAAGGCCUUCGGGUUGUAAGCCGCUUUUGUCAGGGAAGAAAAGACUCCUGUUAAUACCGGGGGUUCAUGACGGUACCUGAAGAAUAAGCACCGGCUAACUACGUGCCAGCCGCCGCCGUAAAAC
rnacentral:rRNA from 1 species